rnacentral:lncRNA from 1 species
UUUAUAUCAAUUUUAUAAAAUAAUAAUAUUUUAACAAAUUUAUAUUUUUAAUAACUGCAAUAGCUAGAGGAAAAAGUGGCAGAAAAAAAAAAAAAAAAAAAAAAAAAAAAAAAGUAAUUUACAACAGAUAAUAAUGAAUUUAUUUAAAAGUAAAUCAAAUAAAGCAAAUUCUAUAUCUCAUGUUUUGAUAAGUAAGAUAUAAAUUUAUGAAAUAAAGGAAUUAAUAUAUGAAUGAUAAACAUAAGUCCCGGUUUCCUGAACCGGGGAUAAGCAUAAGACAGUUGGAAGAAAAAGAUAUAGAUGAAGUAAGACAAUUAUUACACGACCAUUUUAAUUCUCUUACUCUACCUGCAGUUUUAUAUUGGACUAUACAACAUAUUUAUGAUCUAUUAGUUAUUAUUGUCAUUAAUUAUAUUUUCUUUUUAGACUUAAAAAAAAUAAUAUAUUUUCUUAUAAUAUUUUUAAUAUAUUUAUAUAUAAGAGCUAAGCUUGAAUUUUUAAAUCAUAUAAGAAAAGAAUGUCCUGAUUUGGAUAAUUUAUAUAAAAGUUAUAUAAAUGUAGAUGGGUGUAAUUUUUGGGUUGCUGAGGUUUUUGAUAAUAAUGUAGGUUCUGCUAGUAGAACGACUUGUAGUGAUAUACAUGAAAGAGAUAAAAUUAUAUUAGAACACGAAGAAUACGAAAAUACAAAUAUAAAUGAUAAAAUUAAUGCAUUAAAUAAAAGUGUAAAUGAUGAUUUUAAAAAAAUUAGUAUGAUAAAAAAUGAAGAAGAUACAAAUAAGUAUAAUAUAUUAACAAAUGACAAUUUAUGUUUACAAAAUUAUAAAAAUGAAUUGGACCGGAGUAAUAUUACAUCAUCACUUAACCAUGACAAUCAUAUUGACAAUCAUAUUGACAAUCAUAUUGACAAUCAUANNNNNNNNNNAAUCAUAUUGACAAUCAUAUUGACAAUCAUAUUGACAAUCAUAUUGAUAAUCAUAUUGAUAAUCAUAUUGAUAAUAAUAAAAACAAUAGUGGUACUAAUAAUAUAAAUAAUUUAAACAAUAAUAAUAACAACAUAAAAAAAAGUAACGAUAAAAAUAACAAUGAUGUGUGUCAUAAUACCGUUACGUACUACAAUAAUAAACAUCAUGGAAAUAGUAGUAAUGAAAAAAAU